rnacentral:rRNA from 1 species
CCUACGGGAGGCAGCAGUGAGGAAUAUUGGUCAAUGGACGAGAGUCUGAACCAGCCAAGUAGCGUGAAGGAUGACUGCCCUAUGGGUUGUAAACUUCUUUUAUAUGGGAAUAAAAUGUUCCACGUGUGGGAUUUUGUAUGUACCAUAUGAAUAAGGAUCGGCUAACUCCGUGCCAGCAGCCGCGGUAAUACGGAGGAUCCGAGCGUUAUCCGGAUUUAUUGGGUUUAAAGGGAGCGUAGGUGGAUUGUUAAGUCAGUUGUGAAAGUUUGCGGAUCAACCGUAAAAUUGCAGUUGAAACUGGCAGUCGUGAGUACAGUAGAGGUGGGCGGAAUUCGUGGUGUAGCGGUGAAAUGCUUAGAUAUCACGAAGAACUCCGAUUGCGAAGGCAGCUCACUGGACUGCAACUGACACUGAGGCUCGAAAGUGUGGGUAUCAAACAGGGUUAGAUACCCCGGUAGUC